UCCAGAAUCACUCGAUAUUGACCAGAAACGCUCAUCCGAUUCGUCGCCAGAAUCAUUCGGUAGCGACAAGAAACGCUCGUCCGAUUCGUCACCAGAAUCAUUCGGUAGCGACAAGAAACGCUCAUCCGAUUCGUCGCCAGAAUCAUUCGGUAGCGACAAGAAACGCUCAUCCAAUUCGUCGCCAGAAUCAAUCGAUUCCUCGAUAUCAUCGCGAGAGUCAUUUGAUGGCAAGAGAGACGCCUAGAUUACAAAUCAUCUGGAUUUGUUGAAAAGAUAUUUGAACAACUCUGUUCAUUACUGAAAAGCUGUCUUCGUCCACGAUACAGAUGAGGUUUUAAAUACACUACCUCCUUUCCAAAAAAAAAAAAAAAAAAAAAAAAACCCC